GCCCCCGUAGCUCAGGGGAUAGAGCAACGGUCUCCGGAACCGUGUGCGCAGGUUCGAAUCCUGCCGGGGGCACCG
rnacentral:tRNA from 1 species